UACGUAGGCAGCAAGCGUUGUUCGGAGUUACUGGGCGUAAAGGGUGCGUAGGCGGCUUUUUAAGUUUGGUGUGAAAUCUCCCGGCUCAACUGGGAGGGUGCGCCGAAUACUGAGAGGCUAGAGUGUGGGAGAGGAAAGUGGAAUUCCUGGUGUAGCGGUGAAAUGCGUAGAUAUCGGGAGGAACACCAGUGGCGAAGGCGAUCACCUGGGGUUGUUCUGACGCUGAGGAGCGAAAGCUAGGGGAGCAAACGGG
rnacentral:rRNA from 1 species